AGAACAUCCCUAGUUCAAGGAUUGUCUCAACUUGAUCGAGCAUCCGCUAUGUUGCAGCAUUGUGCCUCAUGUGUUGUUCAAAGUAACACAAUGUCACAUUGAAAGGUAGGAAUGGUCUUUCUUUCGUCGUCGGUAACAAUAAAUAUAGAAGAUAUUCCUGCACUCAAUUUAAAAGGAUUUGAGGUAAAUGAUAAGAGGUUCUUUGAAUGUCUCCUCCACAGGCAUCUUGUACUACAGGGCUUGCUUGGUUUGCAAUUUGCCCGCAACUAAAUUCUACCCGCCACUCUAAAGGCGAUGCCUGCGGAGAGGCUAUAAAUGUCUGUUAUCAGCAUAAAUUGAAGCCUAAAUAUUUGAGAGUGACAAACUUCUUCGCCCAUUUCAAUGUUGCUUUGUGCUGUAGCAUUGUUUAAUUCAAAUAUCGUACAUUCAAAUAUCGUACAAUGAGACAGUUUACGUUCUAGUGUCACGUUAUUUCGUUUAGAAAGAUAAUAGCCUUUCAACAUUGAAAUGGGGAAAGGAUGACUGUAGUGUCAGCUGUUAUUAAGAUAUUUUGUCAGUUCCAAAUUGCUGUUUCAUCGCCUGUUACCUGUCAGUUUGGAUUUUUUCAGUUGCCAAUGAAAACUGCAGGUACAUGUCACCAGUCAGUUGAUAGUGUGAACCAGCUUGUCAAAACUUUGAUAAGUACUUUUGGUAAAGGGGUUUUUUUCUUAAAAAUGCGUUGAACUAAUCCUUUGGACAAGGGUUUACACUUUACACUAUCACAUUACCUCAUUAUGGUGUAAAACACUUUGAUAGUACAAACAUGGAUAAUAAAAUAAAUGGAUAGGAAACUAGCUGACGUGACCUAAUGUUUUUACUGGGAUUGAUUGCGUGGUUGGAUGCCUCAACCUAGUUGAAAAUCAAAUUCUCAAAAACGGCAUGUUUAGCAAUAAUACAGCUAAACAUUUUAGUCAAAGAGCAAAUAAAUGUAACCACGCCAUUCUACGAUGAAAACUCUAAGUAUUCCCAGUCAAUUUUAGCAAAUAUUUCAAGCACCAAACAGUGAAAAAUACAUCG